rnacentral:rRNA from 1 species
UACGGGGGGAGCAAGCGUUGUUCGGAUUUACUGGGCGUAAAGGGCGCGUAGGCGGCCACCGCAAGUCGACUGUGAAAUCUCCGGGCUUAACCCGGAAAGGUCAGCCGAUACUGCGGAGCUAGAGUGCAGAAGGGGCAACUGGAAUUCUCGGUGUAGCGGUGAAAUGCGUAGAUAUUGGGAAGAACACCGAUGGCGAAGGCAGCCAUCUGGACCGACACUGACGCUGAGGCGCGAAAGCGUGGGGAGCAAACAGG